rnacentral:lncRNA from 1 species
UUCACAUCGAUGACGCCCUCCAGCAGCGAGCAAAACGCUCAGAGACAGCGCCGCCGUGGCGUACCAGUAGCCCCGUGUCUCCUGACCUCGCGAUGAGAAAGAGACGCACCGCUCACCAGUUUGGCUCUGUGCCUCGAGUUUUCCGUACCCUCGCAGCGUUGAACUCUUCCCGUCCUCACCCCGAGUGCCCCAGAAUCCUCUCUUUUCCUCCACGCGUGUUCCAAGUCAACGUACAAACGGUCGGUGUGCCGCGUGGUUGGUUACCCGAAAACAGGCACCGGGUAUUGUGGGAGACCCCGGUCUCGUCGGAACCGUUGACCACGGCCAUUCGGCACGGAAUUUACAAGUCCAUAUAACCCAUUUGGCAGCGAGCAACAGGUUUAUUUCCAAUUUGACCCAAAGCUGCCGCCCCGACCCUGUCGGCGGAUAACGAAGCUUCUGCCGACAGGCGUUACAUGAUUGCCGUAUAAAAACUUGGACCUAGCCGUGCCUCUCCCGUUGCAUACUAACUGUUUCGGAUUCUCCCGAAGACCACUAAAACGCACGCAAAGUGUGGAAGUUGUGUGUCAGUUCGUUGCGUGGCAAAAGUGUCAGGCGAGCGGCGCCGUUAUUCCCUAGAAAGUCCAGUCUCACGAGAGCGGGGAGACGCGGAAGCCUAUCUGCUUCGGUUUGCAGCAAGUCCCCACGAGAGCUCUGUCACACGGCUUCAUGCUGUUUUAUGCUCACUGAUGCGAGCCGUGGACGGUCCGAUUGGCGAGCUUUUGCCCAGCAAACGUUUGCUUGAGCAGUAAAAUGGCCACGGGGCGACCUCGGCGUGGGCGACGAGAAAUCGUAUAAAGAGUGGUGGUAAAAACUUUGAUAUCCCAGUCAACCGGGACACCGUGCAUGUCGAUCUGCUUUUUGGGAUCGAAACGCCUCGUCGCAUGCCUCUCGGAUAGUGCACACCGAGUGAGGGGAACUGGGAAGUCUGGCUGUUUCUCGUGUCAGUGUCUGAAAUGGCCCGCGUAGAGACUACAAAGACUCUCGUGAAGACAGUGCGGUCUAAAAAGUCGCAAAGCCCGGAUCAAAAAACAGCGGCUCCGUCACAAAGUACACGCAAAGCGGCGACGCAGUCGUUGGAAAAGAGUGUAGAAAGCGCGCGGCAAAGCGGCUUUGGGCCACUUUCCCUUCACCGUGUCCCGCGGGCAGAGAUUCGGCCAGGAGAGGCAGUCUCUCGACAGCUUUGCCCUCAGCGCCUAACACGAGCGGGGACAUUUUCAGCCCUUGGCACAUUCCGCAUGCCCAGUCGC